rnacentral:rRNA from 1 species
UACGAAGGGUGCAAGCGUUAAUCGGAAUUACUGGGCGUAAAGGGUGCGUAGGCGGUUGUUUAAGUCUGUCGUGAAAUCCCCGGGCUCAACCUGGGAAUGGCGAUGGAUACUGGGCAGCUAGAGUGUGUCAGAGGAUGGUGGAAUUCCCGGUGUAGUGGUGAAAUGCGUAGAGAUCCGGAGGAACCCCAGAGGCGAAGGCGGCGUCCUGGCUCGCAUCUGACGCUCAGACACGACAGCAUGGGGAGCGAACGGG